rnacentral:rRNA from 1 species
UACGUAGGGGGCAAGCGUUGUCCGGAAUCAUUGGGCGUAAAGAGCGUGUAGGCGGCUUGGCAAGUCUGACGUGAAAGCCCGCGGCUCAACCGCGGAUUGUCGUUGGAAACUGCCUCGCUAGAGUCCGGAAGAGGAGAGCGGAAUUCCUGGUGUAGCGGUGGAAUGCGCAGAUAUCGAGGAAGAACACCCGUGGCGAAGGCGGCUCUCUGGGACGGUACUGACGCUGAGACGCGAAAGCGUGGGUAGCAAACGGG